rnacentral:rRNA from 1 species
CCUACGGGUGGCAGCAGUGGGGAAUAUUGCACAAUGGGCGCAAGCCUGAUGCAGCCAUGCCGCGUGUGUGAAGAAGGCCUUCGGGUUGUAAAGCACUUUCAGCGGGGAGGAAGGCGUUAAGGUUAAUAACCUUGUCGAUUGACGUUACCCGCAGAAGAAGCACCGGCUAACUCCGUGCCAGCAGCCGCGGUAAUACGGAGGGUGCAGGCGUUAAUCGGAAUUACUGGGCGUAAAGCGCACGCAGGCGGUCUGUCAAGUCGGAUGUGAAAUCCCCGGGCUCAACCUGGGAACUGCAUUCGAAACUGGCAGGCUAGAGUCUUGUAGAGGGGGGUAGAAUUCCAGGUGUAGCGGUGAAAUGCGUAGAGAUCUGGAGGAAUACCGGUGGCGAAGGCGGCCCCCUGGACAAAGACUGACGCUCAGGUGCGAAAGCGUGGGGAGCAAACAGGAUUAGAUACCCUAGUAGUC